AUGGUGGAGAUCGACAAGCCUGAUGCCCGGGGCUAUACACCUGUGGAGCAUGCCCUCACCGAAGGCCACCUCCCUGCCGUCAGGUACCUUCUUGAUCGUGGAGCUGAUCUGCAUCAGCGCCAUAAAGAUGGAACCAUGUCUACUCUUCUUCAUUCAGCUGCAGCUCUUGGGCACUCUGAAAUAGUAAAGUUUCUUCUUUCUAGAGGGGCUGAUAUUGAUGCGCUAUCAUUUUCUGGGACACCACUGUCUCUUGCUGCUCUUAGAGGACAUGCUAGCACGGUUAAGAUCCUUUUGCAGCACAAUGCAGAUCCUAACAAGGGCACUCGUCGGUUUGGACCUUUAGGGAUGGCAAUAGAUAUAUCAUCUGUGUCCUGUGUGAAGCUAUUGAUUCAGGGUGGAGCUAAUGUGAGCGGUGGUAGUCCUUGUGAUAUUCCUUUGGUUGCGGCUGCAGAGAAGGGCUUAACUGAAGUUAUUAAGUGCCUGUUGGAAGCUGGUGCAAAUCCAAAUGUCCCUGACACGUUUGGUAGAUUGCCAAUAGAGUUGGCUGCUGAAUAUGGCACACAGGAAGAUUUUGAGAUUCUCUUUCCUUUCACCUCUCCCAUUCCAACUGUGACAAAUUGGAGCGUUGAUGGAAUCAUUAGUCAUGUGGAGAUGGAAAUCAAACAGCUUGAGGAUGACAAUUUUGUGAAAAAGGGUGUGUCUGACCUGAAACAACAAGCAGAUGAAGCAUUUAGGAAGCAGGAUUAUCUGAAUGCAUCAGUGUUCUACACGCAGGCACUGAGGAUGGAUAACUUCGACGCUAAAUUGUUGUCAAACCGGAGUCUUUGCUGGGCUCGCAUGGGUCAUGGAGAAUGGGCUUAUGAUGAUGCAGAUAAAUGUCGGGAGCUUCGCCCAAAGUGGGCCAAGUCACACUAUCGGCUUGGAGUAGCUCUGAUGUGUAUGAAGGAAUAUGCCGGUGCUCAUCACUCCCUCUCGCGCGCUUUACAGUUGGAUCCGGAAAGCCAAGAGAUUAUGAAACUACUCUUGGAGGUGAUUGAGCUGAAGUGA
rnacentral:rRNA from 1 species